rnacentral:tRNA from 1 species
UGUAAAUAAGUGUAAGAUGCACUUAAAUUUUUGAUAUUUAAAGACAAGUUUAAUUCUUGAAUUUACAA